rnacentral:piRNA from 1 species
UUCCAAAAUACAGGAAAAUGCAUUGCCUUU